GAUGAAGAACGCAGUAAAAUGCGAUAAGUAAUGUGAAUUGCAGAAUUCAGUGAAUCAUCGAAUCUUUGAACGCACAUUGCGCCCGCCAGUAUUCUGGCGGGCAUGCCUGUUCGAGCGUCAUUUCAACCCUCAAGCCCUCGGGUUUGGUGUUGGGGAUCGGCGAGCCUUUCUGGCAAGCCGGCCCCGAAAUCUAGUGGCGGUCUCGCUGCAGCCUCCAUUGCGUAGUAGUAAAACCCUCGCAACUGGAACGCGGCGCGGCCAAGCCGUUAAACCCCCAACUUCUGAAUGUUGACCUCGGAUCAGGUAGGAAUACCCGCUGAACUUAAGCAUAUUAAUAAGCGGAGGA
rnacentral:misc_RNA from 1 species